AGGAUCAUUACCGAACCGUCGACACGAGUUGUYGCUGGCCCUCAAAAGGGGCACGUGCACGCUCUGUUUACACAUCCACUCACACCUGUGCACCCUCUGUAGUUCUGUGGCCUUGGGGACUCUGUCCCCUUGCYGUGGUCCUACGUCUUUACACACACRCCGUAAUAAAGUCUUAUGGAAUGUAUGCCGCGUUUAACGCAAUACRAUACAACUUUCAGCAACGGAUCUCUUGGCUCUCGCAUCGAUGAAGAACGCAGCGAAAUGCGAUAAGUAAUGUGAAUUGCAGAAUUCAGUGAAUCAUCGAAUCUUUGAACGCACCUUGCGCCCUUUGGCUAUUCCGAAGGGCAUGCCUGUUUGAGUAUCAUGAACACCUCAACUCUCAUGGUCCGCCAUGAUGAGCUUGGACUUUGGGGGUCUUGCUGGCCUAGUGUCGGCUCCUCUCAAAUGGAUCAGCUUGCCAGUGUCUGGUGGCRUCACGGGUGUGAUAACUAUCUACGCUUGUGGUU
rnacentral:rRNA from 1 species